GAGUUUGAUCCUGGCUCAGAACGAACGCUGGCGGCGUGCCUAACACAUGCAAGUCGAACGUGAUCCAGAGCUUGCUCUGGUGAAAGUGGCGCACGGGUAAGUAACGCGUGGAUAACCUACCCUGGUAUCCGGGAUAACAUUCCGAAAGGGGUGCUAAUACCGGAUAAGCCCACGGGCUCUUUGGAGCUUGCGGGAAAAGGUGGCCUCUAUUUAUAAGSUAYUGUAUCAGGAUGGGUCCGCGUACCAUUAGCUAGUUGGCGGUGUAACGGACCACCAAGGYGACGAUGGUUAGCUGGUCUGAGAGGAUGAUCAGCCACACUGGAASUGAGACMCGGUCCAGACUCCUWCGGGAGGCAGCAGUGGGGAAUUUUGCGCAAUGGGGGAAACCCUGACGCAGCAACGCCGCGUAAGUGAUGAAGGCCUUUGGGUCGUAAAGCUCUGUCAGAGGGGAAGAAAUGAUAUAGUGCUAAUACCACUUUAUCUUGACGGUACCCUCAAAGGAAGCACCGGCUAACUCCGUGCCAGCAGCCGCGGUAAUAC
rnacentral:rRNA from 1 species